rnacentral:rRNA from 1 species
UACGUAGGGCGCAAGCGUUGUCCGGAAUUAUUGGGCGUAAAGAGCUCGUAGGCGGCCUGCUAAGUCGAACGUGAAAUCCCUGGGCUCAACCCAGGAACUGCGUCCGAUACUGGUUGGCUUGAAUCCGGGAGAGGGAUGUGGAAUUCCAGGUGUAGCGGUGAAAUGCGUAGAUAUCUGGAGGAACACCGGUGGCGAAGGCGACAUCCUGGACCGGUAUUGACGCUGAGGCGCGAAAGCCAGGGGAGCAAACGGG